rnacentral:tRNA from 1 species
GCCGGAGUGGCGGAACGGUAGACGCAGCGGACUCAAAAUCCGCCGAGCUAACACUCGUGGGGGUUCGAGUCCCCCCUCCGGUACCA